rnacentral:rRNA from 1 species
AGUGAACGCUGGCGGUAGGCCUAACACAUGCAAGUCGAACGGCAGCACAGUAAGAGCUUGCUCUUACGGGUGGCGAGUGGCGGACGGGUGAGGAAUACAUCGGAAUCUACUUUUUCGUGGGGGAUAACGUAGGGAAACUUACGCUAAUACCGCAUACGACCUACGGGUGAAAGCAGGGGAUCUUCGGACCUUGCGCGAUUGAAUGAGCCGAUGUCGGAUCAGCUAGUUGGCGGGGUAAAGGCCCACCAAGGCGACGAUCCGUAGCUGGUCUGAGAGGAUGAUCAGCCACACUGGAACUGAGACACGGUCCAGACUCCUACGGGGGGCAGCAGUGGGGAAUAUUGGACAAUGGGCGCAAGCCUGAUCCAGCCAUACCGCGUGGGUGAAGAAGGCCUUCGGGUUGUAAAGCCCUUUUGUUGGGAAAGAAAAGCAGCAGGUUAAUACCCCGCUGUUCUGACGGUACCCAAAGAAUAAGCACCGGCUAACUUCGUG